rnacentral:rRNA from 1 species
CAGCCAUGCCGCGUGUAUGAAGAAGGCCUUCGGGUUGUAAAGUACUUUCAGUGGUGAGGAAGGGAGUGUGGUUAAUAGCCAUAUUCUUUGACGUUAGCCACAGAAGAAGCACCGGCUAACUCCGUGUCACAAGCCGCGGUAAUACGGAGGGUGCGAGCGUUAAUCGGAAUUACUGGGCGUAAAGCGCAUGCAGGUGGUUUGUUAAGUCAGAUGUGAAAGCCCGGGGCUCAACCUCGGAGUUGCAUUUGAAACUGGCAGGCUAGAGUACUGUAGAGGGGGGUAGAAUUUCAGGUGUAGCGGUGAAAUGCGUAGAGAUCUGAAGGAAUACCGGUGGCGAAGGCGGCCCCCUGGACAGAUACUGACACUCAGAUGCGAAAGCGUGGGGAGCAAACAGGAUUAGAUACCCUGGUAGUCCACGCCGUAAACGAUGUCUACUUGGAGGUUGCGGUCUUGAACUGUGGCUUUCGGAGCUAACGCGUUAAGUAGACCGCC